rnacentral:rRNA from 1 species
GAUCAUGGCUCAGGAUGAACGCUGGCGGUAUGCCUAACACAUGCAAGUCGUACGAGAGUUUUUAACUCUAGUGGCGGACGGUGAGUAACACGUGAGAAUUUGCCUUUAGGAGGGGACAACAAUUGGAAACGAAUGCUAAUACCCCAUAUGCUUUCGAGUGAAAUGGAUUUUAUCCGCCUAGAGAGAAGCUCGCGGCUGAUUAGCUAGUUGGUGAGGUAAAGGCUCACCAAGGCAACGAUCAGUAGCUGGUCUGAGAGGACGAUCAGCCACACUGGGACUGAGACACGGCCCAGACUCCUACGGGAGGCAGCAGUGGGGAAUUUUGGACAAUGGGGGCAACCCUGAUCCAGCAAUGCCGCGUGAGUGAAGAAGGCCUUCGGGUUGUAAAGCUCUUUUGUCAGGGAAGAAACAGCAGCUCUAACACAGUCUGCGAAUGACGGUACCUGAAGAAUAAGCACCGGCUAACUACGUG